rnacentral:snRNA from 13 species
AGCUUUGCGCAGUGGCAGUAUCGUAGCCAAUGAGGUUUAUCUGAGGCGCGAUUAUUGCUAAUUGAAAACCGAAACCAGACAAAG